GGCUUACUUUUUGGCGGAGUCUCUUGGACACGUUUUUGCUGGUGCUGGAAGAUCAGAUACAUGGAACCUUUGAAAACUGAUUAUUUUUCUCCGAUAUGACUUAAAAAAAUAAAAAGAAGAAAAGAAAAUAGAGUAGUGCACGGCAAGCUAGAGGAUUGUAAAUUUUCCUUGGUGAACUUUGAGGAUCCAUAAAGAAGGUUUUUUCCUUUUGAGUGUUGAAGGCUGGUUUUUCCAGAGGCCAUUCUCGGCCAGGAAAAUGUUCUGCUCUGAAUCUCUCCAAAGACCAGGACUCCUGGGGCAACUUGAAGAAAACAUUACAGACUUUAAUGGAAGACUAGGAAAAAAAAAAAAGAACCAUUUUUACCUUUCAGCCCCAUCUUUGCAAUGGCAAGGGUGGGAGGAAGAGACUUCAGGAGAGAACCACAAGUUGUUGAUGCUAUUCGUGAAUAAGAAAUUCUGAAGAGGUAUUUUCUCUCUUGUGACACCAGACUUUUUUCUCCACCUAUAAAACCGAGUUCUCUUUCACCAGUGACAUAGUAAAGAAAUGGCUUAAUUUAAAAAAAAACAUUCUUGAUUUCCAAAUUAGAUAAGGGAAGAGCUUGUUUGUAGGUUAUGGGGAGGAAUCUUGCCUCUUCUUUUUUUUCUCAAAUGCAAUACAGUCAAUUCAAAUUCAGGAACAUAGGAAGUAACACACUUGUCAAGAGCUGUCAGGCAUUGAGUGUGUCCUAUGUUCCAAGCAAUGUGCUAGGCAUUAUUUGUACCUUUCUUUCCGUUUUCACAACAAGUUCAGGCUGCUUUUACAGGUGAGAAUGUAGCAAGUCAGAGCAAAUGAGCACUUGCGUAAAUCACACAGGGUGGAAGUGAGAGUUAGAGUAGAAACCCAGAUGUGUCUGACUACAAACCGCUAAAACAAGUUUCUUUGAAAGUAAGUCCUAAAUAUGUUGUAAGCAUUGCUAGGAGGCUCCAAGUUAGAUAUCUCCUUUAAUGAUUACCGUAGCUCCAUUGUGAUAUUUGUAAGUUUCUCACAAAUCUUGCUAUAGGAAACAAGCCCAGAGAUGUCAAAUAACAUUGUUUGAAUUACACAUCUGUUAAGUGACAACACCCUGAUUUAAGCUCCAGCAUCAUGCAAUUUUUGCUUUUUGACUUUAUCACAAAUUUCAGGGGCAAUUGUGCCUUACUUUUUGCCAUAGAUAUGUUUAAUUUUGGACCAGUGUUAGUUACAGAAAACCAAAGGG
rnacentral:lncRNA from 1 species